UGGUAGCUGCCUGGUGUCUGCUGAGCUGCUGGGAUGCUGCCACUUGUUCUCCUGCGAGCUCUGAUCCAUGAGGGUGCAAGUGGAUGGUGAGAGCACUGAGCUCCAGCUCUGGCUGGAGGAAACCCCCGACUUCCAUCUCUGCCGCAGACAAUCAGUAAAACACAAGCAUUGCAUUCCCCUUCCUAUCAGAGUACUGCUAGAAGACAAACGUUAAAGCAUGCCAGACAUGCAAAUAUUAUUAAGAUUGUGAGAAAUGAUCACACUGGAAUAAAGCCAAAGUCCAUGCAGUGCAAUAGCCUCUGGGGUCUGGUGCCUAGGAGAAGACCAUGUGCACAGAUAACACCGCUUAGGCCACGCACCCACUCCCAGCCGGAGUCAGCUCCCCUCUUACUGCACCUCGCUCUUCUCGGGUAAGAUUGACCUAACAAACACUUUUCCUGUAUGUGCUAUGACAGGUGCUGUAUUUGAACAAAUUUUAAUAGACAGCAUAUUAACUCUGACGGCUUCAGAUCGCCGAGGUAUGUGUGUGCGUUUGCAUCUCCUGUAUAAACAUUCCUGACUCUCAUCUGCUUUGAUCAGUAUCACUCACUUCUGUGAUCCUUGCUCUUUUCCAGUGUCGUGACAAAUUUUUGGUUCCAUGUCAACAUCAAUGUCUCAAUGGCUGUUACGGUGGUUGAGGUAGGUGAGUUCAUCUCAGUAUCAUAUCCUGUCACUUCAAAAAUUGAUGUGAGGAUACUGUGAAAGUUUUCAAAAAGUGCGUAUCGAAUCGUCUGUUGAACUCCAAAUUUCUGAGUGUCUUGUUGCUACGGAUUUUUACCACCUGAAAGGUGGGGGUAUGUUUCUGCUACCACUGAGCAGAAUGGAAGAGGACAAAGCUACAGCACGUUCAGACUCUUUCCUUUUCAGGCUUUCAGUUCAAAAUCUCUUGUUUAACCAUUGGCCGAGAAGGGGGGAAGGUUUAUGGUGUUACUCAGAGCAAGGUAAUACAGCAGAAACAUUAUUUUAUUCUAAACAAGGAAAAUUCCCAAAGAACAGGGCUGGCCUUAUGAUUUUUACAGGAUCUCAGAAUUUGACCCAUAUUCAGUGGGACUGUUGAGUGUGUCAAGUUUUUGCUACCCUAUUCCCCCUCUUCUUCUUUGUAUGUAUUAGAAUACAUAUUUAGGACCACAUCCAUAGUUUAGCUCCAUCAUCUUCAAUAAUGCCAUACUUAUUUCCACCAGAUGAAGGUCUGCCUUUAAAUUUUGGAGGAUAUAAGAAAAUGCACUAGAAGAACCCUGAACUACACAGUUGACUGAUUCUUUUCUCUCUUCAAAUUCCCUUUGCCCCAGGCUAUUACCUCAAUCUACUUCUUUUUUUUUUUUUUUUUUUUUUUGCUAGUGACUGGUAUGCAUCUUAGAUACUUAGAACAAAGAAUAUUGGUUUGAUCUGUGUUUAAGGCAGCAUGUUCUGGAAGUCAUGUUUGCACUUGUGUGAUAGUUAGCAUUUGCCUUUUUUUUUUAAAAAAAUAAAGACUAUUCUAAUCUGUUUCAACACCACAGAGAGGCUUUUCUUUCUUCUUUAGAGACAACUGCAACAUGCAAAUAUUCUAGUGCUUAGAGAAUAUAUAGAAGUGUGUGUCUAUACACAUGCGACCUAAUCAUUAGGCUCAUUUUCAAACCAUAUGCUCCAACUCAUAAAUAAAGUCUAUUAACACUGAACUAUUGAUCAAAAGUAAGUAUCAGGCAUUCCAGCAUCAUGCCUUUCUCUGUAGGCUGCUACCUCCACCAACCCUUAUAAGUUAAGAUUUGAAUUGGAUUUAGCCGUUGUAAUUACAUUUAUAUUAAUAGAAUUAGAAGGCUAAUGUUCUUCUGAGUUUUAUAUUCAACUGAUAAACUAAAUUGUCACUUCAAUCUAUUGCGCUUGCACAGAGAUUUACCAUAUGUGAAUCUUGAGGUAAUUUUGAGAUUGAAACUUGGUCAAUUCUAGGGACAGACCAAGAUCAAGAGACAGAUUUGUCUGUUCUCAGGUGGCUAUACCCCACAAAGCUUUUCCUUUCCCAAACCCUAUUGGUUGCUCUUAUUAGCCCUUUCUGUGGCCCAGUCCUUGCAUCAACUACUUAGGAUAUACAGAAAUGUUUAUAUCUCUUGAGCUUAAGUCUCCUUUACUCUCUCUUCAUUUCCCUUUCUUAGAGGCUGCCCAUUUGUUCUUGUAUUUGACACUAGUUUUCUGACAUCUCUCCUAGAUAUUCCCCUUAGAAUCAUAUAUAAAAUAAUGAUGUCCACCCUGAGCUUUCCUCUCUUCAAAAAGCACUGACCUAGUUUCUCGGCUUUUACAGUAGAAGUUCUCCAGUCCCAUGUCAAUGAGGUUGCCCUGACAUAUCUUAGCUCUGAUAGCUAUCUCUCUCUUUUAAUAAUGGCAUCCUGAAUGGGGAUUAUUUCCUCUAAAUGCAUCUUCAUCUGUUCCCUGUAGAAUAUUUCCUUUUGAGUUACUUCUGAUUGAUCUGGUUUUGGUAGCAGGGCUACGCAAAGACAGCUCUGAUCUUUCUAUCCAGGGCCUGACCACAGGUGAUGAUGCCUGUGGACUUUGGCCAGAAUUGGAGCCUUUGAUAACGUAUUCCCCAAACCUGUAUAAAACACAAUGAAAAAAGCCAUAGUUUAAAUUGCUCUUUCUUAUUAUUAAUGGAGCACAUCCUCAGCCAGAGUAGCAGGUCACUUGAGUCCUUGGAUGUGUGCAGAGAUGACAAUUUUGCCUACUAGCUACUGAAUCCUUAUUUUUGUACAGCAGUGCUCACUUAUUUUCCUUCACUUUGCAGUAUAUUCUUGCAUUUUGUUAUGUCUAAACUUCCCCUUUUUCCUAAAGACUUGAUCCCCCACCAUCAAAACAAGGGGGAGAUUUCACCUAAGCUCCUACAAGAACAGCAUGAAGGCCUGGCUUUUUCUUUGGUGCUCUCUGGCUGUAAAAACUUCCCGUCAUCUCUGUGAUGCUGAUGCAGGAGCUGGAGCCGCUCUGCUGUACCUGCAGCCUGACAGCAUGUCUGCCUGCUCCCAAGUUGAUGUUAUACAUGGUCCCAUCAUAUGCUGCUAAAACAGAGCAAACUCCAGUGACUUGGGUCUCUUCAGGGUACGAGUACUGAUUUGAGCUGGACUGGGCUAUCUGUAAAACACUCUGUUUUAUGUAUUUGAGCCAUCCAGACCAGGUAAGUAAUUUUUCUUUCUGAUAUUUCUGAAGAAUGUAGCUGCUUGCCUUAGUUCAGCUUCAGAAACUACUUGCACCAGCUGGUUGCUGUGUAAGGAUAAUUUCUGCUGUGUUAUUCAGGAGCAAUCAUGGUGAUUUCUAUACACUUUAACUUCAUGUGGCAAAAAGCAACAGGAACAUUUGCUGAUUUGCUUUGUACUGGGAGUUCCUUGUAGCAGGGACCAUCCUGCCUGGCUGGGGUGAGGGUGUCGCUUCACUCGUGAUUUGACUUUUGUUUUCCAAGUGGGUGUAAUCCUGAUUUACACUGAGGUUACACGUUUCUUUAAACUAAAAAUAAAAUACUUUUUUCUACCAAAAAUGUUUAACUGGUAGGGUAGCUCUUCUCAGUGCUUUCUGUGGAAUGGAGGUAGACCAAAAUGGCAAAGACAUAAUUGAUUCUAUCCCCCUGAAACCACUGGACUUAUUCCCCAAGCCAGUCUUUCAUGUGGAUAUAUUAUUUCACUAUUUCUUGUCAAACUAUGUUAAGUAAAUAAAAGUGAGGUGAAAUAUCAGCAACAAAGCUAACAAAUGGAGCUGAAUGCUCCACUUGAAAGAACAGAUCUAGCUGCUUACCAUACUAAUCUGAAAUUAAAUGAAAAUGUAUGUUUUUCAUCUUUUCAGACAAUGAUCUUCAAAUACAGGUAGCUCAGGUCUUUAACAACACAGCUUUUUCUUUUUCUUUUUUUUUUUUUUUUAAUAUAUAAUUAUUAUUUUAUUUUUGAGAUAAACCCUAUUGUGGAGGUACUUUGUGUGCUUAUGUAGUUGAAUAAGUGUAGAACCCAAAAUGUCUAUUACUGUUGAUAGACUUACCAGUCUGAAGUCUGAGCUCUUGUAUCAUACGCUGUUUUAAUUUACCAGGCUCAUAUGUGCCCACCUGCCUUGCAGGUGCUAAAGAAGGAUGCGCAAACACUUUUGUGUGCUCGGUGUUUUACUUUCCCUUUGCCGUACGUCAGGCCUUAAUCUCUUCUCAGAGCUGUUCCCAGUCUGCCCCAGUGCACAUGAAUGGCUGUGCUGGGCAGCUGUUCAGUAGCAUCUGAAAAAUCUCAGCAGCAACCCAGCCAGAUAUUAGUUAGGGCUAUUGUUAGCACCUAAUAUUUGUUGAGUUCAAGUUAGCAUUUUUCUCGUACUCAGGAGGCCCAAGACUAACUAGGUGUUAUUCUUUGCUUCACAGAAACUAAGCUAGCUCGAGUGGCAGCCCAGUUCCAGCAGCUUUCCGGAGGGAACAUCCUCCCCAGACGGGCUGCAUGUUGCUAAUUGCAAGGGAAAUCCUGGCAGUGUCAAAGUCGAAGCCAAAACCUCACUGAUUGCAGUGAUGCCAGGAUCUCACCAGAUGUCUGGAUUGUUUAUUCAUCUGGGGGUUUCCUGCCCGGGUUGUUUGCUGGCCGGCCUUGACCUUCCUCAGGGAGUCAUGGCUCCUCUUCCACUCCCGCAGAAGGGCUGUUUCUGACGCAGCUCUGUCCCCUGUCCCUACCUCUGGCUGCUUCUCUCUGAUGUAUCUUUGGUGUUUUCAGUUUCUUACAGCCAGAGAGGAAAAGAAGCAUCUCACCCAGCUAUGGCUGUCUGUGCCUUUCUGCUGCCUGUCACCCAGACGUGGAUCCAGCGAUCCCCUGUGCAUCAAAAUCCUGGCCUCGUCUCUCAAGGUAGCGCUAGUCCACAUAGUGCCUGUAUGUACCUACAUGGAAAGAUGGUGUGAGCCUCAAGGAACUCACGAGUUAAGGAGAGACAGGAAUAUGAAAGUAAUUUAAUUUGUCAUGCAAAACUUUGCUAGGAACUACUACACUUUCCAAAAUGUAUUCCAAAGAAAUGCAGAGAUAGAUUCCCGACCGGCAUUAAUCAGUGCUGAUUAAGUCAUGGAGCUACCCAAUUUCUGCCUGGCUCAGGAUCUAGGAAGAUAUCAGGAGGCACUGCACAAAGACUGUGUCCCUGAUGAGCUGGGCUACAACGUGCAGAAAGGACUAGCCCUGCUUCUAUCAGGAUAACUUGUUUUCUGCAGUGGAAGGGACAGCUGCCUUGGCCUAGGCACUGGGAGAAAUGGUUAGAACAAGAUACAUAGGAACAACUUGCACUGAUGCUGCAGAGGCUUGAGAGAAUGCGCAAAGCUCAGGCUCGUGGGAAAUGGACACUCUGGCACAUGUGGCUUGUUAGCACACAGAAGCUCUGACCCAGCAAAAUAUUUACAGGCACUUAAGUGCACAUCUGAAUGGGCUAAAUGUACACCUGCUUGUCCCUUCAGCUGCUAGAAACCUAUAGUGUAAAUGACUGAAAUAUCUUUGACACAGUAACACACUGUAACUCUGCUGGAGAUGCGUAUACAUUUUUGUAAUGGUUUGGUGCUGUUGUCGUAAAAGUAAGGCGUUUUUUAAGUCCUUCUCUUAACAUUGCGUAUAGGCUUCAAGCAGUGUCCUGGGCAAUGCACAUCUGGAGAGAGACUUAAGAGAGAAUUUCCAUCUUCUCUUCCCCUUCAGCUUGAUGAACCUUUGCUCUCUGCAGAACCAGGUACAUUGGAGAUACUGCCUGUGGCCAUCAGGUCAGCAAGAGUCUUUUCCAUCUCUGCAGCGGGCUCCCACUCCAGCCUGAGCACCCCUGCCUCCAGACCUGCUCCAUCAUGAGAGAACAACCCCAAAUAUCUUCAUCUGAUCUCUUAAAUGGAAGUCUCUGAGGAGGAGGAUCUCCCUGGCAGCUGAGGAGGGAAGUGGUUUCACAGCUUGUGUCUGGCUGCCCUGCUGUCCCUGCCUCUUCCUGCAUGACUGUGUGCAAGCCUGGAGAGAGCUUUUCGUGCUUCUUGACAUUAUUGCUCUGCCGAGGCAUCGGACAUACUACCUCUCCUUCUCUCGCUCUUGGCAUCUUGCCACCUAAACUCACUAGGCAGCUUGAGAUUUUUGUUCUCUGGUGGGAAAUUUCAUUUGACCCUUUCAAGUGGGACAAGAAUAGAUAUUAGAUUUGUUGACGAUGAAGUGCUUUUAUCUGAAUUCAACAAAAGAGGUACAAUGAAAAGAUUGCAGCUGUUGAGCAAAAGCUCGGCACUUAUUACAGAGUUCAUAUGCAUUUACAAGUGGCACAUCAGUGGAGGCUCUCCUCACCCUAGCAGAUGUACGGUCCUUCCACAGAAAACUUGUUAAUCUUUCCGUCAGUUCUGCAUGCUUUACAUACCUUUGGGAAAACAUGCUGUUUGACUCUCUUGCCAGAUCUUGCAAUGACAGAAAUGCUGUUAGCAGGUAAAAGUUACACAGAAGUGCUUUAUCUUCCUGUUAGUCUUCUAGGUGUUCUUGCUGGAGGAUGGGGCAGCAAUUUAGAACACCAGAUUUACUCAGGUUGUAAUUAAAUUCUAAGCACACCAUUGCCCUAUUGAAUAAACAUCUACUUACUUUAGGAACAUAUUUAGAGAGAGAGAGAUAUUUUAGUUAGAUUUUUUUUUUUUCUUAUUUUCACACAAACAUACUAAGUCACAUAGCCACUACAACAAUAUGUUCUAAAAAUUAAGGUAGCAAAUCAACUCAGUCAGGAAGCAAGUAACUCAGACUUGGCAAAGGAGACUGAAAAAAACACAAGCAAACAAAAAAACCAAACCCAAACCAUAACCAUUAUCUGCUGUCAUACAGAGACUAUACUUCAUAAUAAGAGCAAUAAAAUAGAGAAAAUCCUGAUGAAAUCUGGGGAAGGGUAUAGCUUGCAGUCAAUCAUGCAAAAAUAGCAAUAAACAUUUGCCCAUGUGCUAAUGAACCAGGGACAUGGAAGCAUGAUCGAAAAGGAACAGCAAAUGCUUUGCAAGCUCACCAAAGUGGCUCAGGCACUGGCUUAACAGUAUUAACUAAAAGUCAAAGAGAGCAUGACCAUCCUUGAAUAUGUGCCCUGUGGCAGUGGCCGGUGAGGGCCAGGGCCCACAAGGCCACUUCAUUUCGUGCCAGUUGGGCUUUCCUUAGAAACCCUCUAAAAUUCCAGUCCCUUUGGUGCAGUUUGUCUUGGCUUUCCUGUCCCCAUGGCCUUUCUUCGUGAAAUGAAGGAGGCACCAGGCAGGCUUCAGAUAUUUCAUAGCAGAGAAAGAAUUCAUACAGGGAGCAUUCAGUUCUUAGGCACUGAUUUCCAAACACCUUCCCUCAGUGUGAGUCCUCCUGACUGCUGGAGGAGAUGGCACAGAAAUGUUGCAAUCACCUUUAUGAAAAAUAUGACAGCAAGGGGAAGAUACCAGGUGGAGGACAACAGCUGUGUCAGUGGAUGGGGUGUUGUGCUGGGAAUGAUAAAUCUGCUGGAAAACAAUUAGCGAGCUUGGCCUUGUUUUUGAAAGUCUUUGCAUCUCAUAACAUUCAUGUACUUUAUAUAAUGCCAGUAUUUGUCUCUCUGACGUCAUCUCCUGGAUUUCAUUGGCCUGAAAAUUUUCCCUAAGUGGUGCUAUUUCCACUUUCUUGCUAUUUACAGAUUUCUCCAAAUUAUUUACAUUUGUUUAGGUCUCUGAUUUACCUUUUAGGUGUAUCAGUUCCUGAAUGUUUUGUCCUGUACCUUGAUUUGUUCAUGUCACUGACAUAAAUUGGUUCUCUAGUGCUUGCAGGUAAUUUCAUGCUUACAAUAUACCUAAUUUCCUUGUGCAAGGAUAACUGUACAGCUGCACAGGAUAUGGCAGGUCAGAGCCCACGGGUUGCAGCAAAGCCCAUCAUAGUCAGCACAAAAAUUCCCACAAUGUUAAACAGAUUUUUGGAUCUGGCCCAUGUAUAUUCAACAGUGACUUUCUACUUACCAUACUGGCACAAUGGGAGCCUUUUCAGACAGUUCUUCACCAGGUUUAUUUGGUUUAUUUUCUGCCUUCUAAACCAGAAGCAAAGCAUUGGCUCUUUGCGAGUUUAAGUCAGACCCAUGGUCUAGUAACUGCUCUUGUAUACCUUUUAGCCCAACAGUGGCUCAUGGUGAUUCGCAUGUACCAGCAAUAACUACAACUGUGGCAGGACAGCAAAACAAUUUCAGUAUAUAUUUAAGUAGUUUAUGUUGCUUCGUCAAGGCAGCAGUAGGGCCGUAUCUCAGGUUGCAUUGGUGGGAACUAUGGCAAUAUGUGAGCAUGGGUACAUGGCAGAGCAGCUAUGCUGCCGUGAGCUGAGGAGCAAUGUUAGCUCAGUCUGGUUGUUUAAUAGCACUCCUGGCUACCAUUGCAGGAUUUGGACUGGUGUUGGGAGAAGAGAUUCCUACUGCAAAAUCCUGUUGCUGGAAAGGCAGCAGGAUGGUGAGGGAUGGAAUUUCCAAGGGAACUGUUAAUGAAUUUCUCAGCCUUCCUGUAUCUUUCAUGUCUAGUCCACAUGCAACUUGGGUCCCUCUCUGUAAAGGAACUGCUGUUGCACUAAUGGGUUGUGGUCUUGAUCAGCAUCACAAAAAAUCCCACUUCUCAUAAACAGUAAUAUCAUAAAUACUAAAGUAAAUCAAUGUGAAGAUUCCUGAGCCUUAGAGAGCUCUGUUCUCUGUGGUGAUCAAAGCAUGCUGAUGUCCGCCAAGCAGCAUGGCCUCAACCUUGCACUGGAUCUCUGCAGAGAAAUACGGAGCUCCUGUCCAGAGGGAGCACCUCUGGCUCCUUUGGGAAGCCUUGCAUUCACUUACAAAGUAAGGAUUACACCUGCCAAAUAAUAAUCAUUAGUAUUUAACUAAUAAUUUCUUCCUAGUACCUUGUCUUUUAGUAAAGUCCCAAAAAUUUAAUUUACAUGCUUAUGUAUCCAAGCAAGAGAUCUCUAGUUAGACUAAACCACAGUAUUUUAUAUUACUGAUUUACUACAUAGAACUUCUAAGCAACAACAAGAACAUAUGAAUCACUUAGUUUUUCUUCUCUGCUGAUCCUAGUCUAUCUUCAAGGCCUUGAAAACUGUUAUAAAAUUCAGAUGAAGAAUGGAGAACUCACCCAUUAGGUCCAAAACCACAACCCCUGCCCCCAGGGCAUUAGAGGAUGCCUUUCUUACAUUGCAAGCUUCCAAGUAAGGAGCUCCUUCUCCUUAGCUCGGUGUUUGGAGUUCAGAGCAUUUUAAUGGACAAGUGGUGUCAUUCAGCAAAGCCCGGAGCCAAACCAUGAAAGUUUUUCAUUGAUUUAAACACUAUUCAACAUUUGCUCUGCACUGAUGAAUGAAGUAAAUGUUCAGCUAAUUACUUCAUACACCUUCUAGUCCUAAAAUUAAGCUACUGCUUCAAUCCCUAUUCCUGUGUGAUUACCAAAUAGUAGCAGAUUAUUUUAUGAGAUAACCUCAUUUUCCUUCCCUUCUGGUGCCUUUCAAGAAAGUGCAAGCAGACCUGGAGUUGACAGGAAAAAACAGGCACAACCAACGAACAAGACCUGGUGAGAGGAAUCAGUGAUUUUAGGCUGCCCCCUCAUCCCAAGUGGCUCUGGCAGUUUCCUUUUAUUCUUUAACAUUGUUCAUAUUAUUUACACAGCUGGUCCACUAACUUUUUCUUGUUAUAGAGUUAUUUAUUUAUUCCUUUUUUUUUUUUUAAAUUAACUUCCUCUACAUUUUAGAAUAACAUCAGUUUAUGUUUACUGCCACCCAAAAUGAUUUGUUUGUAAUUAAAACCACAAAUCUAACAGUACCUAAAUGUGUGACCUGUGUUUAUGAGGGGGACGCAGGGGCAGGUUUUGAAAGCUGAACCACAUCAUUUCAAGAUCCAUAAUCAGAUUUUAGGGGUUUUCCAUUAUUAUUCUUUAAAGGUCCAGGUGUAUAAAGUGGUAUCAUUUUUCUCACUUGCUUUUGCUAGCUGGUUUAAAAAAAAUAGUAUUAAUGCAGCUGUAGACAUUAUAGCUGUGUGUGUGACUGCCUGCUGGAUUUACAUGCCCAAUUACCCCAAUAGCAUACAACCCUCCAAGACUUGCACAUGCAAAAAGUCUGUUGGAUGUAAAAUUGCUGGCAGGGAUGCUCCAUUUCCAUAUGCAGUCACACUGAAUAUGCAUAUACAUUAGGUGCAGAAGCACACACACAUUUUUGAAACUAGAGGCCUCAGUGUGAACCUGAGGAAGAAAAGACAAAUGUUUUGAAGGAAGGCUUUAGGUCAAAUUCAGUAUAGCAAGCAUAAAUCUGCUGAGUUUUGCUCAUGUGCCUUAUACCAAUGGAAUUCAUUUUCUUCAGUUAAAUGUGGGAAAACACCAUGGAUUUAUAGUUUUCUUAUUUUUGCCUCUACAUCUUUUGUAUGUUUACAACCUUCUUUCAUUUUUCUCUUUAUGCUUCUAAUAGAUGAAAGACAGCCCAAUGUAACUUUUGUCCAAACUUCUAGGCACCUUAAGUUAACAGCAAAACAGGAUUUCUGAAUACUAACGUUUGAAAAUCCAACAACCGAAGACUGUAAACAUAGACUUAGGUGUCCGAAUUUAAGUACCUAUUUUUUAAAACCGUGGCUUAGAAAAUAAAGUAUCUGAAUGUAUAUAGAUAAUAUAAAUCACCAGUCACUUUUAUUACAUGUAAGUUUAUAUAAAGACCUGAGAACACGUUUUUAAAAUGUAAACGUUCCUUAGUAUGUUUAACUAUGUGUCUAAAGAAGAUGUAGGACAGAAAGAAAACAAAAGUUUGACAAAUGUUUCUGAUCAAUUCUGAAGAAAUCAAUAGGAAUUCACACACAGCAUGAUUUCAUUUAACUUUCCAUGCUAGAGAUAGUAACCUGACUUUCUGUUAAAGCUAAAGUGUUCAUACUUUUUAGUGAUUUAAUUUUCAUGUCAACAUAUAUCAGGUAGAGAAUGGGUUGGAGACUGGGAGGGAAGAAGGAGCAGAUGGAAAUAUGUGGAAAUUGUGUGGACUGGAUUGUCUGGUUGGGUGACUUUGUUUCAUCAAAACUGGUUUCUAAUAGGAAAUGAGGUUUUCAUUGAGAUGCACAUUUCUUUUCCCCUUUGAGGGAGCAGAAAGUGUCUGUGUCAAGCCAUAAUUUAUUGCUUAUUUGAAAAAUAUCUAACACCUGAAAACUGAAACAGCUUAGUAGAGAAAGGAGAGAAAAGCCAUUGAAUCACCAUCACUGCAUUGGUACCUUGGUGGGAGCCCAGAAAUUCUGUAUCUCCAUCUUGCGUGCUCUUAACGUGCUGCUGUAAAACAAGAAGGGGGAGAUGAGCCCAGAGAAGAAGAGGUUCAAGGCAUGCAGACAUUAGCUCUCAUUAAUGAGUUAGAAUAUUUUUGGGUUUUUUUUGGCCGAAAAGGAAAGUAUUUUGGCCCAUAACUCAAAUAUCUCAGCAGAGAAUUUUGUUUUGGAAAUGUCAUCAGGUUUUUUUUGCAAAAUGUCAAAGUUCUCAGUGAAGAAAGCCACCACUUCCCACCUCCCAUGCAAGGCAAAACUGUUAGCACUGCAAGAUCCUGUGUGGAACUUACUCUGCUCCCUUAGCAGACCAGAACCUUACAUGGUGUAUGGAAACCAAUGGAGCAUUCAAGCCCAGAGAACAUCUGGUUUACAGUAUUUUUUUGUCUUGUUUGUUCAUGUUUGUGCUCCUGGAAGCGCGUGCAUUGGGUCCAUAAGUGUGUGCGCGUGUACAUGUAUGUCUGUUCUUAUUUAUUCUAAAUAUAAACUGUUUUCUGAAAGGCCAUUAUUCAUACUUAAAAGAAAGAGUGUUAUCCUUCAUAGAAGUUUGGCUCAAAAUCUGAGCUUGACACAGAGUGCCAUAUUGGACUAAACCAAAGUGUGGAAACAAUGUUCUCCAAAUAACUGAGAGAGUCCAAGCUUGGAUUGGUCCACUGCAAGGAAAGUUAUGGAUAAUAAAAAAGAUCCCAGCUUUGCUGCCUCAUUGAAUCCCCAGUUAUAUAUAAAGCAGAUGUCCUUUUUACAAUAUGCAAUAUGUAGGCUAAAAUUCUGUAUCAGACAGUGACAUCUGAGAGUGGCAUUGCUUUGAAAUGUACCUUUUUAUCUUGUGUACACAAAAAAUUAUAUGUGCGCGCACACACACACACACACACUCAAUAUGGCUUAAACAGAAUCAUUUGUUAUAAAUUUUUCCGUCAGCAUCCAGAUUUGACUGACCAUGGAAUUCAUACAGAACAGAUGAAAAAUGUUUUAGGCUAAACUGAUGAGUGAGUCUACAAAAGGAAACACCACAAAAUCCAGUUUCAGUCCAACAAGCUGAAGGGGCUCUAUUAUUAUGAUCUUUAUCUUUUGCCUUUCUUGUGGGCAAGGUAUAAAGCAAAAUAGCUGUGUCUGUUUAGCUGCCUGAACAAUAGAAAAGUUUACACAGCUCUUGAGCUGAAAUGUUUUUGACAGUUUUCAAUUUUAGCUCUUUUGAUUUGGUAAGAAAUCUGCAAAAAUAUGAUUUUGAAAAUCACCAGUUUCAUGCUUUAUUCCUUUCUCAAAAUUAGACUAUAUUGUCCAACUCCACUUACUCUGUCUGAGGGAAUCCUAGAGAAUAGCUGGAAAGAAUCAGUGCUGGGCUGUUGCUUAGGAACUGCCUGGGUUUCUAUAUUAUUGCCUGAUGUAAUAGUUAUAUUGCCCACUUGCAUCUGUUAACAAGCAAUACAACAGAAUCCACAGGUACCAAUAAAGAAAUAAACCUGGCAUUCAUUACUUUGCUUGAAAAUUCAUCAGUGCUUUUUCUGGCUCGGCAACAGGGAGGAAAACCAUUUUGCUCAGGUGUUAAUUAAUAAAAUAGGAGAUGUACUGACUUUACAUAUAUCUGUUUUAUUUAGAUUUAUUUAUUUUGCCUCAAGGAAAAUAGGUUGUAAAGAAUGUAGUGUAUUGGUAUAAUUACAAUUUUGCAAUGCCAUAGAAAGACAAGAGGUAUAAGCUGUAUUUUUUUUUUUAUAUAAGCUGUAUUGUGGGGUAAUAUGACCAUUUAAAUGUAUUUUAAGCACAAGCAGUAUGGGUUCAUUUAUAAAAGCAGUACAAAAGGCCAUUUGUAUUGAGUGCCAUCAGUAAACUCCCAGCAAUCCCCAAGUUACAGAUGAACUAACUUACCUUAGUAAGGUAUCAAUAUUGCCAAAUCCAAGGCUGUAAAAAGGAGAUGACGAGAACAAGACAGAUUCCAUGACCACCUUCAUUAAAACUAUUUCUAGAUACAGGUCAAGAUUUAAUAAAUAAACAAACAAAUGAAUAGAUAAAUAUCAAUAUGCUUUUUGUGUUCACUUUUUAAAGCUUAUCUUAUGAUAACAAGACCUACCUGAGACUUAAAGUGAACUGUCAAUGCUUUGCAGCCCAAACCCCAGCAGCUCAUUCUUUGCCCGGCCGUGACCCAAAGCCCAGCGCAGGCACCGGAUUGACUCCUGUUCCCUGCUCAGGCUUCAGUCUACGUGUUUAAUCAGUGUGCGCUGUCAUUACGGGACAUGUUCACUCACCACACAGGAAUCGCACACUGCCCUGAAUGUGGGUCCUUUUGAAGGCUCCUGACUGAAACGCUUUUACAAGCCCACCCAGCAAUAGGCUUCCUACAUAUAGAGGAGCCAUAAUAAAAAAGAACGAUCGCAGCCCAACUCCUAGUUAUUAAGCAUGGGGAAAAGCACAGGAGGAGUUGCAGGUAAGAGCAGGCUCUGUGACAGUUACUUUUCAUAAGUAAAUCUUAGUGGAGCACAGCUACUGCUUAGAUGAAAUACACUUGGCUCUAUCUGGGGGCUUAGAUUUAUAAGGGAAAACAGUUUAAACUUCUGAUUUGCUGU